AGAGUUUGAUCCUGGCUCAGGAUGAACGCUGGCGGCGUGCCUAACACAUGCAAGUUGAGCGAUUUACUUCGGUAAAGAGCGGCGGACGGGUGAGUAACGCGUGGGUAACCUACCCUGUACACACGGAUAACAUACCGAAAGGUAUGCUAAUACGGGAUAAUAUAUUUGAGAGGCAUCUCUUGAAUAUCAAAGGUGAGCCAGUACAGGAUGGACCCGCGUCUGAUUAGCUAGUUGGUAAGGUAACGGCUUACCAAGGCGACGAUCAGUAGCCGACCUGAGAGGGUGAUCGGCCACAUUGGAACUGAGACACGGUCCAAACUCCUACGGGAGGCAGCAGUGGGGAAUAUUGCACAAUGGGCGAAAGCCUGAUGCAGCAACGCCGCGUGAGUGAUGAAGGCCUUCGGGUCGUAAAACUCUGUCCUCAAGGAAGAUAAUGACGGUACUUGAGGAGGAAGCCCCGGCUAACUACGUGCCAGCAGCCGCGGUAAUACGUAGGGGGCUAGCGUUAUCCGGAUUUACUGGGCGUAAAGGGUGCGUAGGCGGUCUUUCAAGUCAGGAGUGAAAGGCUACGGCUCAACCGUAGUAAGCUCUUGAAACUGGGAGACUUGAGUGCAGGAGAGGAGAGUGGAAUUCCUAGUGUAGCGGUGAAAUGCGUAGAUAUUAGGAGGAACACCAGUUGCGAAGGCGGCUCUCUGGACUGUAACUGACGCUGAGGCACGAAAGCGUGGGGAGCAAACAGGAUUAGAUACCCUGG
rnacentral:rRNA from 1 species